UACGGAGGGUGCAAGCGUUAUCCGGAUUCACUGGGUUUAAAGGGUGCGUAGGCGGACAGGUAAGUCAGUGGUGAAAUCUCUGGGCUUAACCCAGAAACUGCCGUUGAUACUAUUUGUCUUGAAUAUCCUGGAGGUAGGCGGAAUAUGUCAUGUAGCGGUGAAAUGCUUAGAUAUGACAUAGAACACCGAUAGCGAAGGCAGCUUACUACAGGAUGAUUGACGCUGAGGCACGAAAGCCAGGGGAGCGAACGGG
rnacentral:rRNA from 1 species